rnacentral:lncRNA from 1 species
CACAGCGCCCUGGGGAAGCUGGUUUGAAAGCUCUGGAGCGACCCCAAUGCCGGCUACUGCCUGGGGUCUAGGAAUCCAGAACAUUCCACACAUUGCCUAAGUCAACAACCUGUUGCACACACACACCUGCAACUGUUUUGCAAAAAUAUUUACGUAAUUUCGAAGCAGCUCUUCACAAAAUAUUCAUCAGUUACAGAAGGAAGUCACUUCACAGUGGAAAAAUCUGGCAGGUGCCACCUUAAUCAAGUAACCAAAAUGAACAUCAUCAGUAAUAGGACAAAUUGCAAUCGUGUGCCUCCUGAUAGUCUAGCAAGAAGAACACAGCAUCACUUCUAUGAUGCUCCUGCCAAUAAUAUAUAAUUGGAAUCUAAUCCUAAAGCAACAAAUUCAAAUUAAGGAAAAUUCUACAAAAUAAUUGGCCUGUAAUAGAAGUGUUAAAGGUCAUGAAAGUUAAGGAAAGACUGAAGAACUGUUCCAGACUGAAGAUGAAAGAGAUGUGAGAAAUAAGUGCAGUGGUGAUUCUGAACUGGAUCCUGACUUGGCAAAACUUGAAUAGGUCUGUUGGUUGGAUGGUAGAAAUAUAGUAAUGUUGAUUUCCUGAUUUUUGCUAGCUAUAUUACAAUUUUAUUGGAUUCAGUCCUUGUUUACAGAAGACACACAGUAUGUAGGGGUUAUAAGAAGUCAGCUCAGGAACUUUCAAAUCAUUUAGCAAAACAAAAGUUCUUCGUACUUUAAUUCCAAGACUUCUAUAAAUUUGAGAUUAUUUUUAAAAUACUUAAAAAAAACUCCUUUAAAGUCUCUCAACAUGCUGUCCUAUUAAUAAUAGAUUUCUAAAUUUUUUAUUUUUAUCA